rnacentral:lncRNA from 1 species
GGGGAUGUCAGCGAGGAGCAAGGAGAACGGUUUCACCAGGAUAUUCGACUGAUGGAAGAGAGGUCUGUAUAGCUUCUAUUGGGUGGUGGAAGAUGUGGUAAUGGUCAACUAACCUACCCCUGCAUGCUUAAAAAUGGCAAGCCCCUCGCCUUCAGAUACCCUGACAACUGACUGGUCUAAAUGUGUCCUUUGUCAGGUGGACAGCAAAGAACAAUUGACAUGUCCCACUGAUGCAGGUUAUAAAACCAUAGCUGAGAACAUCCUUCAAUUUAAUGAACUCCGGGGGGGGGGGGGGGGGGGGGGGGGGGGGGGGGGGGGGGGGGGGGGGGGGGGGGGGGGGGGGGGGGGGGGGGGGGGGGGGGGGGGGGGGGGGGGGGGGUUACUUGAAGUUUGGUAAAAGUAAACUGGAACGUGCCAAGGAGCGGAAGCGCAAAUCUAAUGAAGAAGCAACAACUUCUAAGCAGAUUUUCACACGAAGCAGUAGUGGAGAAGCACAUACCUACAUACCUGAAGACAGCAAAAGCCCUGUGUGCUUCCUUUGUUCCAAACUGGAAACAAAUGAGAAACUUCAUGAAGUCUCCACAUUUCAAGUAGAUUUCCGUGUGCGGAAGUGUGCACAUAAGCUCCAAGAUGAGGAUCUUCUGGCAAAAUUAAGUGCAGGAGACCUUAUUGCCCUUGAGGCAAAGUAUCAUACAAGAUGCCUCACCAACUUAUACAACAGAGCACGUGGAAUGGUCCCGCAGGAGCCAGGUACCUCAAGUGAUCAAACAUGCAAAGUAUCAUACAAGAUGCCUCACCAACUUGUACAACAGAGCACGUGGAAUGGUCCCACAGGAGCCAGGUACCUCAAGUGAUCAAACAUGCAAAGGCAUCGCAUUAGAGGAGCUGAUAUCCUACAUAGAGGAAAGGAGACAAGAUGAGGACAUUAAGGUGUUCAGGCUUGCUGAUCUUACCAAGCCAUAAACCGAGAGGCUG